rnacentral:rRNA from 1 species
ACAGGGAUUGCCUCAGUAACGGCGAGUGAAGCGGCAACAGCUCAAAUUUGAAAUCUGGCCCUCGGGUCCGAGUUGUAAUUUGCAGAGGAUGCUUUGGGCGAGGCGCCGUCCGAGUUCCCUGGAACGGGACGCCGGAGAGGGUGAGAGCCCCGUACGGUCGGACGCCGAGCCUCUGUAAAGCUCCUUCGACGAGUCGAGUAGUUUGGGAAUGCUGCUCUAAAUGGGAGGUAAAUCUCUUCUAAAGCUAAAUAUUGGCCACAGACCGAUAGCGCACAAGUAGAGUGAUCGAAAGAUGAAAAGCACUUUGAAAAGAGAGUUAAACAGCACGUGAAAUUGUUGAAAGGGAAGCGCUUGUGACCAGACGUGUGGCGGGUGAAUCAGCCGGCGUUCGCGCCGGUGCACUUUGCCCGCUACAGGCCAGCAUCGGUUCGCCGCUGGGGAGAAAGGCGGUGGGAAUGUGGCUCUUCGGAGUGUUAUAGCCCGCCGUGCAAUACCCUCUGGCGGACCGAGGUUCGCGCUCUGCAAGGAUGCUGGCGUAAUGGUCAUCAGCGACCCGUCUUGAAACACGGACCAAGGAGUCGUCCUAGUAUGCGAGUGUUUGGGUGCAAAACCCCUACGCGAAAUGAAAGUGAACGGAGGUGAGAGCUUCGGCGCAUCAUCGACCGAUCCUGAUGUCUUCGGAUGGAUUUGAGUACGAGCAUACUGGGCCGGACCCGAAAGAAGGUGAACUAUGCCUGUAUAGGGUGAAGCCAGAGGAAACUCUGGUGGAGGCUCGCAGCGGUUCUGACGUGCAAAUCGAUCGUCAAAUAUGGGCAUGGGGG